rnacentral:piRNA from 2 species
UACAAGAGCUGGAGCUUGAUCUGAUUGAUA